CAGCACUGCCUCUUUCUGCGAGACCAGGAAACAGCUCAGCUAGAAGCCCUACGCGCAGGGAAACCGAAGGAGAAAGCCCCCCCGCUGCCCCCCGGGCCGCCCCGCACCGCGCCCCAGCGCCGCCGCGCCCGCCAGCCUCGGCCCUUGCGCCCCGGGUGCGCUGCUGCCGCGAAAACCUGGAUCUGGCAUCGCCUUCGCGGACCUGCGCGGCCUCCGGGCGCAACCGCACCCCCACCGACACCCCGGCCUGCGGCCUGGCGGCAGGGGAACAGGAAUGCGGGACGCGGCACCCCAAGGCCGGGGGUCCCGAUUUAACCCACGUUCCUCGGCGGUACUGGAAGACCUGGCUGCGGGCAGAGCAAGGCUUGGCGCUCCCGGGUCUGAAAUCCCAGGCUGCCACAGGUGAUGGCUGCCAUACGGAGUGACCUCGGGGAGGGUGCCGGUGCCAGUGUCAGUGCCACCGGAGUGGGAAAGCACGGAGGGCCUGCCGGGAGGGCAUGCUGCCAGCAGCCAGGGGAGCAUACAAUGUACGCCGAUGUAAAAUGGGUGCACAAGCACAAACACCAUGUGGAAUUGCUAAUAAACAGUGUCCUCUGCCACAA